rnacentral:lncRNA from 1 species
GGUGGCUUCCAUCCCUUCUGGCCGAGCCUCACUCUUUCUUGUGGAGUAAACUUCAGUUGUCACUAGUGAAUGAUGUUUGUGAGUAGAUUGAACUACUGCUGCUGAUUCCUGUGAACUGAGCUGCUGAUAUCCUGACAACACAGAUUUGAUUUGCUCCAAAGAACUAUUUCUAAACAGGCCUAAUUCUGAAUUCUGUUCUCCAAGAAACUUACUGCAUGCAGAUCUGAGUCUGCUUCCAAGGAGGUAGUCCUAUAGCUGGGCCUUGGAGAUGUGGGCAGUCAUUGUUCCAGAGCAAUUACCCAUAAUAAGAGGAGCUGAGUUAGUGACAACACUUUGAGGGAGAUGAAGUAGACUGUGGCCAAAGCUUCAGCGAGCAUGCUACCCUGUGUAAGAUGACCAUUGAAGAAUGACCUGUAGACCUGUGGGGAUAAAGCUUCUCUUUCCUCUCUGGGGACUACCCUCGCUCUCAACUCCAAGUUAGAUAUGACCAGACCUAUAGAAUCCUGAGUCUUGAGGCCUCCUCAAAACCUCCUGGACCACUACAAGAGAAUUCCCGGGGGAACUGAACAAAGGUCACACAAAAUCGAAGCUGUAUGUCAGUGUGCUGCAUAUCUUCACCUUCAGAGAAGCCUAAAGGCCAAUGUAAGCAUCAGCCAGGGGAAUGACAGUGCAUCAUCUGCAAGUCUGAGAUGCCCUUGCUUGUUCGCAAGUACAGCUGGCUCACACACCACAGGCAUGUUCUUUGAGACAAAGCUAGAGGAAAUCAGGCCAGACAGAACAGUGAGUCGGGCUAUUGACUCAGCAAGAACAUCGCCGCAAAAUCUCCUAGGAAGUUGCAAGGCCAGCAGUUGUCUUAAAAAUAGUGACCAGUUCUAAGGGAGGACAGAUAAACAAUAAACAGUGGUAGUGUUCUGGGGUCUUGAAUAAUCGAGUUGGCAUCAAGGGGUUAUCCACUAAAAGUUAUUUACUGCCACUGUCUAUUUCAUAUUUCAUAUUGGGUCAUUUUGGUGACCAAGAGGGCAGUCAGAGAGUGCAGUGGAAGGCUUAUGAGCCCCCUGGGUGACGUGAAGCAGGUUGAUCCCACUCCUGCCUUUCCUACUAAGUGCUUGGAGAGCUUCUACACAUUAGACAUGAAACCGGACACUGUGAGAAUUGAUUGGCCCACAGGGAGAAGAGAGAAGAAAUCAUUCUUAACAGCCCUAGUCAGUCAGUGCUGAUCUUAGGCCCUAAAUGGCAAAGGAACACCAUAAGUAGCCACCAUGUAGAGAAGAUGAGUGGCUAGCUAUGGCUUUGUAAAUACAAAUUGCCAUAUGAUGGAGAGGGUUGUUUCUAAGUGUAUGUUAUCAGGUCUAAAUUCAUAGUGUUUAUUUAAUUUUCUAAUUAAAUUAUUAAUGAAUGCUCUA